rnacentral:rRNA from 1 species
GAUGAACGCUGGCGGCGUGCCUAAUACAUGCAAGUCGAGCGAACAGACGAGGAGCUUGCUCCUCUGACGUUAGCGGCGGACGGGCGAGUAACACGUGGAUAACCUACCUAUAAGACUGGGAUAACUUCGGGAAACCGGAGCUAAUACCGGAUAAUAUAUUGAACCGCAUGGUUCAAUAGUGAAAGACGGUUUUGCUGUCACUUAUAGAUGGAUCCGCGCCGCAUUAGCUAGUUGGUAAGGUAACGGCUUACCAAGGCAACGAUGCGUAGCCGACCUGAGAGGGUGAUCGGCCACACUGGAACUGAGACACGGUCCAGACUCCUACGGGAGGCAGCAGUAGGGAAUCUUCCGCAAUGGGCGAAAGCCUGACGGAGCAACGCCGCGUGAGUGAUGAAGGUCUUCGGAUCGUAAAACUCUGUUAUUAGGGAAGAGCAAAUGUGUAAGUAACUAUGCACGUCUUGACGGUACCUAAUCAGAAAGCCACGGCUAACUACGUG